UGAACGCUGGCGGCAUGCUUUACACAUGCAAGUCGAACGGCAGCGCGGGCUUCGGCCUGGCGGCGAGUGGCGAACGGGUGAGUAAUGCAUCGGAACGUGCCCAGUAGUGGGGGAUAGCCCGGCGAAAGCCGGAUUAAUACCGCAUACGACCUGAGGGUGAAAGCGGGGGACCGAAAGGCCUCGCGCUAUUGGAGCGGCCGAUGUCGGAUUAGCUAGUUGGUGGGGUAAAGGCUUACCAAGGCGACGAUCCGUAGCUGGUCUGAGAGGACGACCAGCCACACUGGGACUGAGACACGGCCCAGACUCCUACGGGAGGCAGCAGUGGGGAAUUUUGGACAAUGGGGGCAACCCUGAUCCAGCCAUGCCGCGUGCGGGAAGAAGGCCUUCGGGUUGUAAACCGCUUUUGUUCGGGAAGAAAUCCUCUGGGCUAAUACCCCGGGGGGAUGACGGUACCGGAAGAAUAAGCACCGGCUAACUACGUG
rnacentral:rRNA from 1 species